UACGUAGGGUGCGAGCGUUGUCCGGAUUUAUUGGGCGUAAAGGGCUCGUAGGCGGCCUGUCGCGUCGGGAGUGAAAGCCCACUGCUUAACGGUGGGUCUGCUUUCGGUACGGGCGGGCUAGAGUAUGGCAGGGGAGACUGGAAUUCCUGGUGUAGCGGUGGAAUGCGUAGAGAUCCGGAGGAAGACCGGUGGCGAAGGCGGUCUGCUGGGCAGUUUCUGACACUGAUGCGCGACAGCGUGGGGAGCAAACAGG
rnacentral:rRNA from 1 species